GAAAAUUGUCAGCAAACACGUUUCCUGCGUGUUUCAUUGUCGCACAUGAUUGAAACUGUAGGUUCUUCACCAAUUCACCAUCAUCACUUGUCGGAAUUGUAGGAACAACAAUUCAAUUCUCACCGCCACCAUGUACGGCGGCGGCGGAGUCUCCAAGCUCGGCCGUGGCGCUAAGCGGCCGCAUUCUUCUUUCCCUCCAUCUCAGCGCCCUCAGCGUCCCUCCGCCGCCAACCGCCUAUCCCUAGGCGGCUCCAACAGCAAACCACCGCUGGCCGUGGAGGAGACGUUCAGCCUCGUCUCAGGCACCGACCCCCUCGCCUUCUCCAUGAUCAUAAGGCUGGCCCCCGACCUCGUCGAUGAGAUCAAGCGUUUGGAGGCUCAGGGUCUCAAUGCGCGUAUGAAAUUCGACCCCAACCCCAACAACCCCAAUGGAAAUAUCAUUGAUGUUGGUGGGAAGGAAUUCAGAUUUACAUGGUCGAGGGAACCUGGUGACCUCUGUGAUAUUUAUGAAGAGCCCCAAAGUGGUGAAGAGGGAAAUGGUUUGCUUCUUGAAUCAGGGUGUGCCUGGCGCAAGCUGAAUGUACAGCGUAUCUUGGAUGAGUCAGCUAAGAAGCAAGUCAAGAUGCGGUCAAAGGAAGCUGAACUCAAGCACAAGUCACGCAAAGCCAUUGUCUUAGAGCCUGGGAACCCACAUAUGAAGAGCCAGAUAAAGGCAUUAGCAGCAGUGGAGGCUACAACAUGGAAAAGUUACACUAAAAAGAAAGAGGCUGCACUUAAGAAAAGGAAAGUGGAGACUCUUCCAGUUCGAGACCCCCAAAAAUCUUCCCAUAAACCUGGAUUGACGUCAACAAGUACGACUACCAAGGGUAGACAUUCUUCUCCUCUUCCAUCUCCACCGGUUCAUUUUGCUGCUUCAUCCUCUCCACUGGGAGCUGUAAAUGUUUCUAAGAGCCUUGAUGAUGCUGUGUCAUCACAAAUGAUUCACAAACAGGAUUCUAAUGCUGUUUCUGAGAAAGAAAUCCCUGCCAAAACAAAAAAUGCUUUGAGGAACACACCAGGAGGCAAAGGAAAUAUUGGAUUGAAACCAAUAGAUUUGCAGGGCAUGUUAAUAUCUCUUCUAAAGGACAAGCCAAUUGGAAUGACUUUAAAGUCCAUGGUGAAAGUUGUUGGAGACACACAUCCAAAUUCCACGAAGCAAAUUGAGGCCAUUAUAAAAAAAAUUGCAAAAUUCCAAGCCCCGGGAAGGUAUAUCUUAAGGCCAGAAGUGGAUUUGGCAAACUUCAAGAAACCUCAGACUGAAAGUGGAAGGUCUCCUGAAGACAGCCAUAACCAGAUACCUGCUCGUGAAGAGUUGCAUGAUCAGAGAUCAGCUCCACAGGGAGGCGGCUUUGAAGAGAGAGUCUCGAAUGACAAUGUGGGCGAAGUAAUAGUGCAAGUAAAAUCCAAAGGGGAAGAAAAAUUAAACCCAUUGAAAAUAAUCGAUGCCCAACAUACUUCACCUGAUAUCGUUGGUGAGAAAAAAGGUUCUGAUCAAAGUGAAGGACUGGCAGGAAGCUCCAGUAACAGUGGAAGUGACAGUGAUAGUGAAAGUGACAGCAGUGAUAGUGGAAGUGACAGUGGAAGCCAUAGUAGGAGCCGAAGCAGAAGUCCUGCUGGAUCAGGGAGUGGGAGUAGUAGUGACAGUGAAAGUGAUGCAUCUUCCAACAUCAAGGAGGGGCUGGAGGGUUCUGAUGAGGAUGUAGAUAUUAUGACUAGUGAUGAUGAAAAAGAGUCAAAGCACAAAACAGAAGCCUCUGAUCAAAGGAUGUCCUUACCUGUGCCAGUAAAAUCUCCUGACAGAAGAUCUAUGCCGAUUGAGGUUGAUGAGAAGCAGGAUGCUAAUGAAUCUGAUGCUGUUGAUAUUGAAAAAGACUCACCUGAGGAACUGGAACCUGAAAUGCCUCCAACUACAGCUACCAUUUCUGAGAAAGGUGAAAAAUAUGCAGAAGAGACAAAAUCUUUUUCACCUGAUUAUCAGCAGGUCCAGGAGCGCCAAAAGUUUAUAGGGAGUUUGUUUGAUGAAAGGGAAAAUGAGGUUAGAGAUAGCUCAAGGCAUGAACAGUUUGUCAGCUCUGAUAAGUCAUGUAAAGGUAAGCAUAAGAGGGGUUCUGAUGCGAAGAACAUUGAUGAGAAAUAUGAACGUAUAAAGAGGUUGAAAGCAGGAAACUUGACUCAUGGAUCAUUUUCUCCUGGUACAGAUGUACAGUUGUUUGAGAAUUCUCAAAAAGGUUUUCCUGUCGAAUUUACUAAAGACACUUCUCAGGCCCCCACUACACAACUGGUGAGUAGAGCUGAUAGACAAGGAAAGUCCAAUGUUGGUUUACAGGAAGUAUCCAAUCGAGCAUUUCCUGGAAAAUCUAGUUCAGAUUUUCCACAAACUGUUCGAAGGUCCUUUGACCAAGCCCCUCUUGAAAACCCAAACCCAUUGGAAAAAUCAGAUAAACAUGAUGAAAGCAUGGGGAACGGAAAAAAACACUCAGGAAAAGACUUUCAUGUGUGUGAAGUUUCUUCUAUGCAAAAAGAUAAAUCUCGUAGAGAUGCCCAAAAUGAAAAUAUCAAUGCCGUUGAGAAAAAAGCCCUUAGGAACUCCAGGGACGGUAGCAAUGGAAGUAAGCAGUCACUAUUUAUGGAUUCUAAUUACCAAAAACAAGGUGAAAUGGUUAGUAAGUCAAAGGAAGGGCGACAAGGUACCCAGUCACUCUUGGGAACAUCGCCUAAGGACAACAGAUUAAGUCUUGAUAAGUCCCCUGUAGUUAAUGGCCUUGGUGUCUCUCGUCAAAGAGAGGCGUCAGACUUGGAGUUAGGUGAAUUUCGCGAGCCCACACCUGAGGAAACCCAUGUCGCAAAGCCAUUUGAACGAAAAGGUUCAUUUAAACAUUUCGAAACAAAAACACUUCAGAGGACAGGAAUUCAGAUAUUACUAAAGUAAAACCUUUAUUGAAAGCCACUUUAGAUUCAAGAAAGCAAUCCUCAGUCUUGGUAAGUUCUGGUUUUCCCGACAAUUUGGAAAGCACAGAUAAUCAUUUUGAAGAUUCAACAAAGUCUCGUUCUAGAGUUAUGCAGGCUCAUUCACAACAUUUGAAAUCAGAUAAUGCAGAAGCUGGAUCUCAAAAUAACUUGACAGAAAUUAAUAAAUUUAGAAAUAAUGAACCUGGGGUGAGCCAGGAUAUUGAUUUAAAUGGUCGUACUGAAAGCAAUAGAAGAGCACCUGCAAACGGAUCUAAACAAGACACAAGACGUGGAAUCAAUUCCUAUCCUGCGAAAGAAAGUAAAAGACAAACACCUUAUUCAUUGGAAGAGGUGGCUGAUGGAGGAAAGGAUUCCGUAUUUGCCGAUAGAAAUAGUAGCGAUCGAAAGAAGAGAGAAUCUUCAUCAGAUGAAAGUAGCUGUUCUUAUUCAAAGUACGAAAAGGAUGAACCUGAAUUGAAGGAGCCUAUAAUGACUUUUUCCCAAUAUAGAGAAUAUGUACAGGAAUUUCGUGAUAAAUAUGAUAGUUACUGCUCCCUGCACAAGAUUUUGGAGAGUUACAGGAACGAGUUUCAAAAACUAGGAGACAAAUUAGAAUAUGCUAAAGGCAUGGAUAGAUAUUAUGACAUCGUAGAACAGCUGAAGGAAUCCUAUCGUCGUUGUGGACCAAGACACAAGAGACUGAAGAAAAUAUUUGUUGUGCUUCACCAGGAACUGGAGAAUAUUAAGCAAAGGAUCAAAGACUAUGCCCACUCAUAUACUAAAGAGUGAAAAUACAAGAGGACUACAUUCAUAUACAUACAUAAAAUUGAAGUCUAGUGGUGGAUACAUGAAGCACAAUAGCGUAGAUGAAUUCUUUUGUAGAUUGUAUGCGUACUAGCUUCUAAUACCAAUUUUGAUAGAGCGGUAUAUUCAAUAUUGUACAUGGAUAAAAUUUUGUAAGCUGCCGAGAAAAAAGUAUAUGCAGUAAUAAUGUAAAGUAUUUUUACCUUCUCCAUUAUUCUCCUGAGCAUGUGUGUGUAGAUAAGCCUGACCAAUAUGUUUUGGGUUCAAUUAUGAAGUACGACUAGUGUAAUCCAAUCAUACUAUGCUAGUAGAAGAAAUAAUUACAUUCAUUUUAGUUUAAAUUA